GAUGAACGCUGGCGGCGUGCCUAAUACAUGCAAGUCGAGCGAACAGACGAGGAGCUUGCUCCUCUGACGUUAGCGGCGGAAGGGUGAGUAACACGUGGAGAACCUACCUAUAAGACUGGGAUAACUUCGGGAAACCGGAGCUAAUACCGGAUAAUAUAUUGAACCGCAUGGUUCAAUAGUUAAAUACGGUUUUGCUGUCUCUUAUAGAUGGAUCCUCGCCGCAUUAGCUAGUUGGUAAGGUAACGGCUUACCAAGGCAACGAUGCGUAGCCGACCUGAGAGGGUGAUCGGCCACACUGGAACUGAGACACGGUCCAGACUCCUACGGGAGGCAGCAGUAGGGAAUCUUCGGCAAUGGGCGAAAGCCUGACGGAGCAACGCCGCGUGAGUGAUGAAGGUCUUCGGAUCGUAAAACUCUGUUAUUAGGGAAGAACAAAUGUGUAAGUAACUAGGCACGUCUUGACGGUACCUAAUCAGAAAGCCACGGCUAACUACGUG
rnacentral:rRNA from 1 species